CAGUCGCCGCGGUAAUACAGAGGGUGCGAGCGUUAAUCGGAUUUACUGGGCGUAAAGCGUGCGUAGGCGGCUUUUUAAGUCGGAUGUGAAAUCCCUGAGCUUAACUUAGGAAUUGCAUUCGAUACUGGGAAGCUAGAGUAUGGGAGAGGAUGGUAGAAUUCCAGGUGUAGCGGUGAAAUGCGUAGAGAUCUGGAGGAAUACCGAUGGCGAAGGCAGCCAUCUGGCCAAAUACUGACGCUGAGGUACGAAAGCAUGGGGAGCAAACAGGAUUAGAUACCCCAGUAGUCCCUGUCUCUUAUAC
rnacentral:rRNA from 1 species